rnacentral:rRNA from 1 species
GGGUCAGUAGGUUGGUCGUGCCACCGGUACGUACUGGUCUCACUGAUUCCUCCUUCCUGAGGAACCGUAAUGCCAUUAAGUUGGUGUUGCGGGGAAACAGGACUGUUACUUUGAAAAAAUUAGAGUGUUUAAAGCAAGCUAACGCUUGAAUACAUUAGCAUGGAAUAAUGAAAUAGGACGAUCGAUCCUAUUUUGUUGGUUUCUAGGAUUGACGUA